GUAUGAAGAAAUGACUAAAAUAAAAGUUUUAGAUCUUGAUAAGUUAUUCAACUUUGUUGUUGAUGACUUUUUCAGUUGAUAUCAUUUAAUGUUGUUUGAAGUUGAUAUCAUUUAAGAUUGUUUGUUCUGCAAUGGAUAACAAUGGUGGGAGUUCUGUGCCAACAUCGUCAACAAGAUCAGGUCCUUUUGCUGAUAUAACUAAUGUAAUUGAUGCCAAUUUGACGAACAACCAUCCCGCUGCUAAUAAAAAUGGAACUAAUGUGCCAAAAGAUCGUGAGAAUUGCCAGCACAACAACUUGGACUGUACAGAUGUUACAAAACUAAGUGCGACUGAACUAAAAAGGAAGCGUGCUAGGGAGUGGUAUGCAUCAUUGACCAAAGAGCCAAAAGGAAGAUAGAAACAAGAAGGCACGAGAUAUCAGGAAGUGGAAGAACUUUGAAUCACAAGGUUUAAAUCUCUACUGCAGCAUAUCUAAACUCUAUGAACAGAAAAAUUCAUUAUUAAAUUAAUUAAACUUUCAGAUAAUGGGUCUCAAGCUGCGACAUCAAAAAAAUUUACUACUACGGCCUCAUCUGUUUCAGCUCCGUUUGGUGAUAUUAAAAAUGCAAGCACUGAAGAUCAAUCAGUAGGGGGCCGGUUGGAUGUUAAUGAUGCAGGCACUGAAAAUGUGGGUUCUAUUGUAACACCUGUGCGUCUACCAUUUACUAACAGUGCUGAUAUGUCCUACAGUACACCCAGCGAGUAUACCAUGCCUCUCCAGGCAGAAGAUGCUCAUGGAGAUGUCACUAAUCUCAGCGCGUCUGAACUAAAAAAGAAGCGUGAGAGUGGUACGCAUCAUUUACCAAAGAGCAAAAGGAAGAUAGAAACAGGAAGACACGCGAUGCCAGGAGGCGGAGGAAGGAUGAAUCUCAAGGUAAUGUGCCUAAAGCUACGACGUCAAAAUUUUCUACUCCUACUCCUAUGCUUGGAGAUAUUUCUAUUGUCACCGCUGGAGAUCCCGCAGGAAGGGAACAAUGGGUUAGUAAUGAUGAAUUAUUGGACACCCCUGCAACAAAGGGAACAGGUAAUGUAUAUCCUUACGUGCACUUGCAAUGAAUGGUUUCACAAUUGCAAUUGUUUAUAGUUCAAUGUACUAUGUUCAAACAGGAAGUGUAUCUCAA